UCAGCUGGAUAGCUCAGACGGCUAGAGCAUGGUGCUGAUAAUGCCAAGGUUGCAGGUUCGAGUCUGGGACAGCUGCA